AUGCAACCCGUCCUCCAAUACGCAUCCGCUACCAUUGUACACCACGCCAUCUGUGAUGGCCUCCUUAUCUUAUCGCGGCAAUCCCAUUACUACAUCUGCAACCCGGCCACCCACAAGUGGGCGUCCAUGCCACAUCCUCCUCAACGACAACCAAACACCAUGGCCGUCAGCCUAGUCGGCUUCUAUCGGCACCACCCAUCUGGAGAACACCGAGUGCUAUGGGUGUCAUACCCAAUAAACGCCGCCGCCAAGGGCGAUGUAGCAGUUGAGUUGCUUGAGUACUUCGUCCUCACAGUGGGAUCGGACCAGCCAAGAUGCAUCCAAUGGCCAGCAGUUUCAGAACAAAGGUUUGUUCCUGCUAUCUGGUCCUACCAAUGCCCACCAAUCCUCCAUCGUGGUAACCUGCAUUGGCUAAUGGAUUUCAACAUAACGGUAUUUGACACCAUAGCUGAGACAUUCCGACAAAUGAGCCGCCCAGCACAACUGGGCGAUUAUGUGUCAUUGUUGGAUACGGGCAACACCCUUGCUUUGUGUCGCACUGAUCAUAACUGUGUCACUUUAGAUGUUUGGGUGUUGCGGGACUAUGAUGCCGAGAUGUGGAUCUUUCAAUACCAGAUUAACUUGUUAGUGAUGGAGGUAUCACCACCGCUUAAUUUGAAGGGGAUAGAGAUUCCUAAAAUGGCUAUGAUCAACGAGCGUGAGCUAUUGAUUGAGCAGUGUCCUUGCCGUCUUUUGCAUUGCGACAUUGAUGGUGUGCUUUUAGGCAAUGUAGAAAGCAAAGAGCACGGGAACUUCUUGACACUUACUAGGCAUUGCCUCCAAGAGAGCAUGAUUUCGCUCCCAUUGUUUGAGACACAAAAGGAAGCUAUGAACAAGGAGCCUCCAUUCGCCUUUGUGCUAUAA
rnacentral:rRNA from 1 species